AUGGCGCAAGCGUCUCACCACCCCCAAGCGCGACAACAGCCACGGUGACAAAAUGGCAGCUCGGCGCCCGACUGACGAGCCACCCGCACACAGCCGGGGAUUGCCGCCCCUGCACCUCGCGAAUGCCAGGGCACCCUGGGGCUAGGUCUCCCAAUGGCCUAGCAGUGCAAAUGGCGAGAGCAGACGGGCCCACAGAUCCUAGGAGGUCGAGGGUCCCCGGCCCGCCGCGCCCUCUCUAGACCGGAUCCCCAGGACCGCGCCGCCGAGCUUCGGCUGUGCCUGUGCGCGCCCGGGCCCCCACCGCUGGGCGCCACGGUCCCCGCGGAGCCCGGUCCACGGCCGCCGUGGGGGAGGGGUGGGCCUCCGGCGCCCCGGGAAACAUGGCUGCUCGUCUUAGUACGGCGGCGUCGCGGCCACCAGUCCCCAAGAUGCGACUUGGGAGAAAGGUUGCAGAAGGAGGCAGCCCAUCUUCUCCUCCCCUCGAUCAUCUUUUCCAUCCAGAUGCGAGUCGUGGGAGCUGAGAGCUCGGACGAGGG